CCUACGGGGAGCAGCAGUGGGGAAUAUUGGGCAAUGGGCGCAAGCCUGACCCAGCAACGCCGCGUGAAGGAAGAAGGCUUUCGGGUUGUAAACUUCUUUUAAGGGGGACGAACAAAUGACGGUACCCCUUGAAUAAGCCACGGCUAACUACGUGCCAGCAGCCGCGGUAAUACGUAGGUGGCAAGCGUUAUCCGGAUUUAUUGGGUGUAAAGGGCGUGUAGGCGGGAGCGCAAGUCAGAUGUGAAAACUCAGGGCUCAACCCUGAGCCUGCAUUUGAAACUGUGUUUCUUGAGUGCUGGAGAGGCAGACGGAAUUCCUAGUGUAGCGGUGAAAUGCGUAGAUAUUAGGAGGAACACCAGUGGCGAAGGCGGUCUGCUGGACAGCAACUGACGCUGAGGCGCGAAAGCGUGGGGAGCAAACAGGAUUAGAUACCCGUGUAGUC
rnacentral:rRNA from 1 species